CAGUCGCCGCGGUAACACGAGUGGUGCAAGCGUUAUUCGGAAUUAUUGGGCGUAAAGGGUGUGCAGACGGUUUGUUAAGUCACUUGUUAAAUUCUCCGGCUUAACCGGAGGCCAGCAUGUGAAACUAGCAGACUAGAGGGUGAGAGAGAGAAGUGGAAUUCUCGGAGUAGCGGUAAAAUGCGUAGAUCUCGAGAGGAACACCAAUGGCGAAGGCAGCUUCUUGGCUCACUCCUGACGUUCAUACACGAAAGCGUGGGGAGCAAACAGGAUUAGAUACCCGAGUAGUCCCUGUCUCUUAUAC
rnacentral:rRNA from 1 species